rnacentral:lncRNA from 1 species
GGAGAAUACACAGGUGCAAUGAACCAUGGCUGUUUUAUGAAAUCAUGGACCUCCUGGGCCUAAUUCUCAAGUGCCAAGCAUAAGGCAUAUUGGCAUGAAAUGGCUUGUGAGAUCAAAAUUAGGACUCUCACACUGUUAUUAAGACAUUUUAACUGGAGUUACUUCUCAUCAGAAGUGGAGUAAAAUAAAAAACAAGGGCAAAAUGCUGCCUCAAGCAAAUAUCCUGAAAGAGAUGGGUUUCUUUUUCUACUUUAGGAAAGAAUGAGCUUAUUUCAAGGGUAGAUGAUGGAGAGUCAUCUUCUGAUUCAAGUGUUGGGCCCUCCACAAGAAGUUUCAGUCAAACUACCAUUUGCCAUAAGUGGCAUUUUGGCUUAAUGUCUGAAGAUUAAUCCACAGACUAGUGAUUACUGAAGUGCAAGGAAUUUGCUUUUAAGAAAACAUGCAUUCCUGUUCUCUUGCAGGUUUCCUUUGCUGCUCAUGCAGAACUUGCAUCCCAUUUCUGUGUAUCAUCCCUUUUCUACAAAAUCCAAUAUGAUUUUAUGCUCUUUUUUCAGCAAGCUUUUGCUGAACUUCUAUAUCCUUUCUCAGAAGGAGAGACAUUUAUUCCUUUAGUAGCAACAACCACAGCUGUUGCACAUUCUGAGAAAUGGUCAGAAUGCCUCUGAGGCGCAGCAUCCAGUCCCCUCUGCUUGUGUUCUAUUGCUGCAGCUUUAUUCUCCAUGCCUCUUAAUUGGUCUCUCUAGUUGUGCUGGUUGUAUCUCACACCACCCCCUCUUUUGCCUGGUUCUUUAUCAGACACCAUGACAGACCUGAAGUGUUUAUCCUCAAGCCUAACCUGAUAUGCUUCUGAUUGUUCAGAACAGAUGAACCAGAACUGCUGUUAGCAUUGCAGUGGUCCUAGAGGCUCCACAGAGAUCAGCUGUUUCCCACAGAAGUCAGCUCUCAGGACAGAGGAUGUUUUAAUCCGACUGUAAGGCCCUUGGAACCACACAUCAUGGGCAUAAUGCACAAUACAGGUUUAUAUGCUGCACAAACCAAUGCAAGAGCUUAGAAGCUUUUUGAAUACCUCUAGUAAAUACAUUUGAUUUAACCAGAAUCACCAGCCAAAACUGAAGAUGGGGAAAAGAAAACUCAGAACACCAGGACUUGCUAAAAAUCAGAAGGUAAUCAGACAGGCUGCAUUUAGAGUUGAAUCUCAGUGCACGUGUUUCCAAGCUACUAUCUUAUCUAUUAGCUUAAGUGUAAUCAUAGAUGUGUCAUUCUCAACUGUGUAUUUUUAUUUUCUGUUAACUAGUUAAGUCCCUUUUAUUGACCAACUGUUCCCUCAGUCAGGACAGCUGCACAGUUUGGAUGAAAGCCAGCCACAAGUGUAUCCCCACUAGAACUGUGGUAAUUAAAUCCAAAUAAUUAAGACAUUCACGAGUGGUGUGUGAAAUCUCUGGAAACCGGCAAUAAUUUUUUUUUGUGCAGGCUCAUGUCACAGUGGGUUGGAUGUGAGAGCUGCUGUGUGUUUCCACGUGUGUGCACAGCUGACUUCUGUGACUUUCCUACAGAGGAACAGAUCAAUAUGCAAAUGUCAGCUUCCUAAUUAAGCUCUAUUUUAAUGGGUUAUUAAACAAAUAAUCCCCUCCCACAAAAUAAACCUCAAAAAUAUUUUGAAGAUUUUUUUACUAAUUUCAACCAUUUUUUGAGACCAAAAGAAAAAUACUCUCAUGUUAACUUGUAUACAAAUCUUUCAGCAGACACAAUUUAAAUGCCAAGUUAUUACACCAUACUAAAGUAUUUAUACUGGAAAUUGUAUUUGACCCUUUUAAAGAGCUUCAGAUGCAUACCACACUCGGCUCAUGGUACUAUGGAUACACUUGAAAUGGCAGAAAUGUUUAAUUCUUCAACUUAGCUUAUGAAACUUCUGUAGAUUCAGUGUACUGGACUUUAGCCCAGUCUUUAAUAUUCAGUCUGAAGCCUUACAGGGAGCAUUCUGGAAAAUGCUUUUGGCAUUGACAGACUUUUUUCCUACCUGCCCAUAUUAGACCAGAGAAACACUGGCAAAAAGUAUGACUCAGUCAAUCUGAAGACUCCAGAGUAUAAGGAUGUUAGACACAAACAACCCAGUUGUGCUGUCAAAAGGAAGGGGGGAAAGCAAACCCUCAAUUCUCUGCAGUCCAGGUAUAAAUCAUAGAAGUUUUUGUCAGCAAACGGAGAGGUUGACUUCAUGAAUUACAGAGUAGCGAGACUCACUUAAAGUCUCUGUUCUAAGGUAUAACAACAUCCUCCACAUCAAUGAGGGUUAGGUGGUAGAUAAGGAGGAUUAAUCUCAGCCACAUAAAUAGGCAGAGCCUGGUUUUUCCUUCCAAGCACUUCCUAGAUUCCAAUACUAAUAUUCUAGUUGACAGAGCCUAUCUAGUGUUGUUAAUUAAAAUCAAGCUAUAGAAGAUGAUUUACUUAUUUCAUAAAACCAGCAGGAUUAACCUACUGCCAUGAUCUAAGUAAAGAAUAGUGAGCCAGAGACCAAAUCUUUCAUUUAAAAACAGGCAUUAGCCCAUAAACAUUCCAGUUCCAUUUCCUUAACCCAACUGCAAAAUCCCAAGAAGAGGAAAAAAAAAAAAAAAAAAAAAAAAAAAA